UACGAAGGGGGCUAGCGUUGCUCGGAAUCACUGGGCGUAAAGGGUGCGUAGGCGGGUCUUUAAGUCAGGGGUGAAAUCCUGGAGCUCAACUCCAGAACUGCCUUUGAUACUGAAGAUCUUGAGUUCGGGAGAGGUGAGUGGAACUGCGAGUGUAGAGGUGAAAUUCGUAGAUAUUCGCAAGAACACCAGUGGCGAAGGCGGGUUGCUGGGCUGACACUGACGCUGAGGCGCGAAAGCUAGGGGAGCGAACGGG
rnacentral:rRNA from 1 species